GACCUCAAAUCAGGUAGGACUACCCGCUGAACUUAAGCAUAUCAAUAAGCGGAGGAAAAGAAACUAACAAGGAUUCCCCUAGUAACUGCGAGUGAAGCGGGAAAAGCUCAAAUUUAAAAUCUGGCGGUCUUUGGCCGUCCGAGUUGUAGUCUGGAGAAGUGCUUUCCGCGCUGGACCGUGUAUAAGUCUCUUGGAACAGAGCGUCAUAGAGGGUGAGAAUCCCGUCUUUGACACGGACUACCAGUGCUUUGUGAUGCGCUCUCAAAGAGUCGAGUUGUUUGGGAAUGCAGCUCAAAAUGGGUGGUGAAUUCCAUCUAAAGCUAAAUAUUGGCGAGAGACCGAUAGCGAACAAGUACCGUGAGGGAAAGAUGAAAAGCACUUUGGAAAGAGAGUUAAACAGUACGUGAAAUUGCUGAAAGGGAAACGCUUGAAGUCAGUCGCGUCGUCCGGAACUCAGCCUUGCUUUUUGCUUGGUGCACUUUCCGGAUGACGGGUCAGCAUCGAUUUUGACCGUCGGAAAAGGGCUGGAGUAAUGUGGCACCUCUGGGUGUGUUAUAGACUCUGGUCGCAUACGGCGGUAGGGAUUGAGGAACGCAGCGCGCCGCAAGGCAGGGGUUCGCCCACUUUCGCGCUUAGGAU
rnacentral:rRNA from 1 species